AUGCCUUGCUGCUGAAAUGUGCUAUACAAAUAAAAUUUGAUUGAAUUUUAUUUUUUUAAAGUACCAUAACAAGAACAUCACAAUAUGAUAUGCUGUUCAAAUUCGCCAUUUUUAGUCGCCCAUUAUUGCCUUAAAAAUAGAGAGCGCCUUGAUAAUAAUUAGUAGUUUUGGUAAAUUCAAGUUGGUGAUGUCCUAGUCCGAGUUAGACGAUAACACCAGGACAAGAACUGGAUGAAAAUGAAAUGUGGGUCACGAAAGGAACCUGAAGGAACAAAGGCUGCUAACGUGUAUCUAGCUGGUGAAAAGGCUCUGGCUCCACUGGAUCAUCGCCCCAGUUUUGAGGAUGAAUCUCCACAGCGUUUUUAUGGUGUAAGUGACCUGUCCAGGGUGAACCCCGCCUCUUGCCCGAUGACCACCACCAGCCACCAGGAUCAGCGUGUUCAGAUCAUGGGCAAAGAAGACACCCAGAAAUGUUUUUUCACUCCAGGCAUCUGGUCCCAAUCAUUAUCAGUUCUUUUGAUGUCGCAUACAUAGCGAAUCCACAAUGUCUUAAAAUUGUUUCUGUUAAGUGCAGUGGUGCAGUGAAUGGUAAUGUUCUGUUGUUGAUCCUCACUGUUCUUAGGAAGGAGAAAUGUCAGUUUGUCUGGAGUAAUACUGAAAUACUAUGACAUUGUAUUAAAACAAUACUCUGUCCUUAGUGAAAUAUUUUUCACAUUUCCUCUAAAGUGUACCUAUUGUUUUAUUGUGCUAAUUUUCAUGUUGUCUGUAAACUUUUAAUAUACUGACAAUUCGUACAAUUCUCUGAUAGUAUAUUGGCAAUGUUCUCUUGUAAGAUGUGAAUAUAUUGACUGCAUAAUGUAAUUUUUUUCAACCGUAAAGUGUGUUGUAAUUGAUCCUUCUGUAUACUGUAGUGUGUAAGAAUCAUGUAAUGUACAAAGUAGCAAAGAAGAAUAAUAAGACAUUGAUAAUUAACUA